GACCCCUACCAUGGAGGAGACCAUCAAAGAUCCCCCCACAUCGGCUGUCUUGCUGGAUCACUGUCAUUUCUCUCAGGUCAUCUUUAACAGUGUGGAGAAGUUCUACAUCCCUGGAGGGGACGUCACAUGUCAUUAUACCUUCACCCAGCAUUUCAUCCCUCGUCGAAAGGAUUGGAUUGGCAUCUUUAGAGCUGGAGUGCAGUGGCACGAUUCGUCUCACUGCUACCUCCACCUCCCGGGUUCAAGCAGUUCUCCUGCCUCAGCAUCCCGAGUAGCUGAGAUUACAGGUAGCUGCCACCACAUCUGGCUAAUUUUUGUAUUUUUAGUAAAGACGAGGUUUCACCAUGUUGGCCAGGCUGGUCUCAAACUCCUGAUCUCAGGUGAUCUGCCUGCCUCAGCCUCCCAAAGUGCUGGAAUUACAGGCGUGACCCACCACGCCUGUCCUUAUUAUGCUGUCAAAAACCAAAUAUAAAUGCUUGCUUGUUGUUGUUGAGAUAGGGUCUUGCUCUGUCUCUCAGAGUGGA
rnacentral:sRNA from 1 species